AAGGGUGACGAAGCGACGCCGCGUGUGGGAAGAAGGCCUUCGGGUUGUAAACCACUGUCGGGAGUUAGGAAAUGCAGGUGCGUUAAUAGCGCACUUGCUUGACUAAGGCUCCAGAGGAAGCCACGGCUAACUCUGUGCCAGCAGCCGCGGUAACACAGAGGCGGCAAGCGUUGUUCGGAAUUAUUGGGCGUAAAGAGCACGUAGGCGGCCUUGCAAGUCAGUUGUGAAAGCCUUCCGCUUAACGGAAGAACGGCAUCUGAUACUACAGGGCUUGAGUACGGGAGGGGAGAGUGGAACUUCUGGUGGAGCGGUGAAAUGCGUAGAUAUCAGAAGGAACGCCGGCGGCGAAAGCGACUCUCUGGUCCGAAACUGACGCUGAGUGUGCGAAAGCUAGGGG
rnacentral:rRNA from 1 species